CAGUCGCCGCGGUAAUACAGAGGGUGCGAGCGUUAAUCGGAUUUACUGGGCGUAAAGCGUGCGUAGGCGGCUUUUUAAGUCGGAUGUGAAAUCCCUGAGCUUAACUUAGGAAUUGCAUUCGAUACUGGGAAGCUAGAGUAUGGGAGAUGAUGGUAGAAUUCCAGGUGUAGCGGUGAAAUGCGUAGAGAUCUGGAGGAAUACCGAUGGCGAAGGCAGCCAUCUGGCCUAAUACUGACGCUGAGGUACGAAAGCAUGGGGAGCAAACAGGAUUAGAUACCCGCGUAGUCCCUGUCUCUUAUAC
rnacentral:rRNA from 1 species